CCUACGGGUGGCAGCAGUGGGGAAUUUUGGACAAUGGGCGCAAGCCUGAUCCAGCAAUGCCGCGUGCAGGAAGAAGGCCUUCGGGUUGUAAACUGCUUUUGUCAGGGAAGAAAUCCUCUGGGUUAAUACCUCGGGGGGAUGACGGUACCUGAAGAAUAAGCACCGGCUAACUACGUGCCAGCAGCCGCGGUAAUACGUAGGGUGCGAGCGUUAAUCGGAAUUACUGGGCGUAAAGCGUGCGCAGGCGGUUGUGCAAGACAGGUGUGAAAUCCCCGGGCUUAACCUGGGAACUGCACUUGUGACUGCACAGCUAGAGUACGGUAGAGGGGGAUGGAAUUCCGCGUGUAGCAGUGAAAUGCGUAGAUAUGCGGAGGAACACCGAUGGCGAAGGCAAUCCCCUGGACCUGUACUGACGCUCAUGCACGAAAGCGUGGGGAGCAAACAGGAUUAGAUACCCCAGUAGUC
rnacentral:rRNA from 1 species